AAUCCUGCAUGUGAUAUAAAAACAGUCAGACACUGCGCAUUUAUUUGUCUUGUAGUAGUUAAUUAUUCACUGUUCUUUGUGUAGAUAUCGGAUUGUGUUUUUGCUGUGGUUAUGAUGCUUGCAGAGAAAGCUUAUUUUCAGCUCACUGUACCCAAAGGAUUGGAUCUUAUCCUAAAUGCAAUAUCAAAGGAAGUUCUUGAAAAACAGCCACGCGAAGAAGAACUCAAAAAAAUAAUUGCACUUUAUCUGAAGCGGGAGUUAAAAAUGAGAGAGACCAAUGGAUUUUCUGUCCUGGAAGCGAAAUCAGAAUCUGCAUCAGCUAAGGUCUAAACCAGACGAUGCUGAUGUUAACAGACCAAAAUAUUAAGAAGACAUACAAUCAUAAGAGCAUUGCAAAGUAAUUUGAGGGUCUAAGUGAAUAACAAUAUCAAGUUCAAUUUCAAGAGUGUAUGAACUCAUUUUUGAGGGACGAUUUUAAAGCAUCACGCUUAAAUUUAAAUAAAUUUUCUAUUGAAUUAUCACAGAUAUUUCCUUUAAUUUAAGUUUCAGAGAGAGGACUUAUUUUGGAUCUCUGAUCAGGCACAGCUUGAACUUUUUUUGUAAAAUAAUUAUCACAUGUUCUCUUUAACUAACUUGGUAACUUAAUUAGCUCA